rnacentral:rRNA from 1 species
GGGUUGUGAGGUUAAGCGACUAAGCGUACACGGUGGAUGCCCUGGCAGUCAGAGGCGAUGAAGGACGUGCUAAUCUGCGAUAAGCGUCGGUAAGGUGAUAUGAACCGUUAUAACCGGCGAUUUCCGAAUGGGGAAACCCAGUGUGAUUCGUCACACUAUCAUUAACUGAAUCCAUAGGUUAAUGAGGCGAACCGGGGGAACUGAAACAUCUAAGUACCCCGAGGAAAAGAAAUCAACCGAGAUUCCCCCAGUAGCGGCGAGCGAACGGGGAGCAGCCCAGAGCCUGAAUCAGUGUGUGUGUUAGUGGAAGCGUCUGGAAAGGCGCGCGAUACAGGGUGACAGCCCCGUACACAAAAAUGCACAUGCUGUGAGCUCGAUGAGUAGGGCGGGACACGUGGUAUCCUGUCUGAAUAUGGGGGGACCAUCCUCCAAGGCUAAAUACUCCUGACUGACCGAUAGUGAACCAGUACCGUGAGGGAAAGGCGAAAAGAACCCCGGCGAGGGGAGUGAAAAAGAACCUGAAACCGUGUACGUACAAGCAGUGGGAGCACGCUUAGGCGUGUGACUGCGUACCUUUUGUAUAAUGGGUCAGCGACUUAUAUUCUGUAGCAAGGUUAACCGAAUAGGGGAGCCGAAGGGAAACCGAGUCUUAACUGGGCGUUAAGUUGCAGGGUAUAGACCCGAAACCCGGUGAUCUAGCCAUGGGCAGGUUGAAGGUUGGGUAACACUAACUGGAGGACCGAACCGACUAAUGUUGAAAAAUUAGCGGAUGACUUGUGGCUGGGGGUGAAAGGCCAAUCAAACCGGGAGAUAGCUGGUUCUCCCCGAAAGCUAUUUAGGUAGCGCCUCGUGAAUUCAUCUCCGGGGGUAGAGCACUGUUUCGGCAAGGGGGUCAUCCCGACUUACCAACCCGAUGCAAACUGCGAAUACCGGAGAAUGUUAUCACGGGAGACACACGGCGGGUGCUAACGUCCGUCGUGAAGAGGGAAACAACCCAGACCGCCAGCUAAGGUCCCAAAGUCAUGGUUAAGUGGGAAACGAUGUGGGAAGGCCCAGACAGCCAGGAUGUUGGCUUAGAAGCAGCCAUCAUUUAAAGAAAGCGUAAUAGCUCACUGGUCGAGUCGGCCUGCGCGGAAGAUGUAACGGGGCUAAACCAUGCACCGAAGCUGCGGCAGCGACGCUUAUGCGUUGUUGGGUAGGGGAGCGUUCUGUAAGCCUGCGAAGGUGUGCUGUGAGGCAUGCUGGAGGUAUCAGAAGUGCGAAUGCUGACAUAAGUAACGAUAAAGCGGGUGAAAAGCCCGCUCGCCGGAAGACCAAGGGUUCCUGUCCAACGUUAAUCGGGGCAGGGUGAGUCGACCCCUAAGGCGAGGCCGAAAGGCGUAGUCGAUGGGAAACAGGUUAAUAUUCCUGUACUUGGUGUUACUGCGAAGGGGGGACGGAGAAGGCUAUGUUGGCCGGGCGACGGUUGUCCCGGUUUAAGCGUGUAGGCUGGUUUUCCAGGCAAAUCCGGAAAAUCAAGGCUGAGGCGUGAUGACGAGGCACUACGGUGCUGAAGCAACAAAUGCCCUGCUUCCAGGAAAAGCCUCUAAGCAUCAGGUAAUAUCAAAUCGUACCCCAAACCGACACAGGUGGUCAGGUAGAGAAUACCAAGGCGCUUGAGAGAACUCGGGUGAAGGAACUAGGCAAAAUGGUGCCGUAACUUCGGGAGAAGGCACGCUGAUAUGUAGGUGAAGUCCCUCGCGGAUGGAGCUGAAAUCAGUCGAAGAUACCAGCUGGCUGCAACUGUUUAUUAAAAACACAGCACUGUGCAAACACGAAAGUGGACGUAUACGGUGUGACGCCUGCCCGGUGCCGGAAGGUUAAUUGAUGGGGUCAGCGCAAGCGAAGCUCUUGAUCGAAGCCCCGGUAAACGGCGGCCGUAACUAUAACGGUCCUAAGGUAGCGAAAUUCCUUGUCGGGUAAGUUCCGACCUGCACGAAUGGCGUAAUGAUGGCCAGGCUGUCUCCACCCGAGACUCAGUGAAAUUGAACUCGCUGUGAAGAUGCAGUGUACCCGCGGCAAGACGGAAAGACCCCGUGAACCUUUACUAUAGCUUGACACUGAACAUUGAGCCUUGAUGUGUAGGAUAGGUGGGAGGCUUUGAAGUGUGGACGCCAGUCUGCAUGGAGCCGACCUUGAAAUACCACCCUUUAAUGUUUGAUGUUCUAACGUUGACCCGUGAUCCGGGUUGCGGACAGUGUCUGGUGGGUAGUUUGACUGGGGCGGUCUCCUCCUAAAGAGUAACGGAGGAGCACGAAGGUUGGCUAAUCCUGGUCGGACAUCAGGAGGUUAGUGCAAUGGCAUAAGCCAGCUUGACUGCGAGCGUGACGGCGCGAGCAGGUGCGAAAGCAGGUCAUAGUGAUCCGGUGGUUCUGAAUGGAAGGGCCAUCGCUCAACGGAUAAAAGGUACUCCGGGGAUAACAGGCUGAUACCGCCCAAGAGUUCAUAUCGACGGCGGUGUUUGGCACCUCGAUGUCGGCUCAUCACAUCCUGGGGCUGAAGUAGGUCCCAAGGGUAUGGCUGUUCGCCAUUUAAAGUGGUACGCGAGCUGGGUUUAGAACGUCGUGAGACAGUUCGGUCCCUAUCUGCCGUGGGCGCUGGAGAACUGAGGGGGGCUGCUCCUAGUACGAGAGGACCGGAGUGGACGCAUCACUGGUGUUCGGGUUGUCAUGCCAAUGGCACUGCCCGGUAGCUAAAUGCGGAAGAGAUAAGUGCUGAAAGCAUCUAAGCACGAAACUUGCCCCGAGAUGAGUUCUCCCUGACCCUUUAAGGGUCCUGAAGGAACGUUGAAGACGACGACGUUGAUAGGCCGGGUGUGUAAGCGCAGCGAUGCGUUGAGCUAACCGGUACUAAUGAACCGUGAGGCUUAACCUUACAACGCCGAAGGUGUUU